GUACUGAUUUUAACGUGAAGUUAGAAAAAGGCUUCAGGGCAAAACGCCACCGUAUAUAGGUUAAAUGUUCGAUUUUUUUUCACGCCACCCCAAGAAAGGGCAGUGUUUCUUUUGGGUUUUAUUCCGUUUAGUCCAGAGGCUUAGUCCUCAUGACACUUCAGAAGUGGUCAUGGCAUAUUAUGUACUGAAUACCGACAGUAGAAGGUCUUACACGCAAAGGUACGAUUAUCAAUCAAACUUCAGUUGUGUACUGACCAGAAAGGUUGAGAAGACUGACUACUACAGGCAUACCCUUUUUCGCACGCAUGUACGAGCGGUUUUGGAAUAUAUACAUGAGAUUUCUCUUCCUUUACUGACGAAUCUCAUGCCGAUCCGUUAUCGUUUCCCGCAGCUAAAUUGAGUGGGUAGAACUCUACCUCCCGGAGCGUUCUCUCUGGUUGGGUAGUAGGGUGGUAGUUCUAAAGUGGCGGACACGCUCACUGCUCGCGGGCCUACUCAGGCUCAAUCUUAACCGUAGCGCUGUCGCGGUCUUACCACGACGUUUGUGGCUCGUACACUCACUCUUGUACGACGAACUGUCGUCGUUCAACCCUCGAGAGUUCUCCGCGCUCAAGAAGCUGUUGGACGAUUUCUUGGAGCUUCUGCUGGUGGAGGCGAAAGACGCGCCUGUUUUCCUUUCUUAACUGUCCCAACUACAGUUCAACGGUCGUUAUCUCCACUCCAUAUUAUUAGACAAACACCUCCGUCUCACGUCUCAAUGAUUUCCUUUAGUGGACGGUAGAGAUACCUUAUCAUGGUUUCCACGGAAGAGCCCGGAGCACUUCAACGAUCCGAAGCUUUGCCUUUCUCGUUUUUGGUUGCAAGAACUUCUACAGUCACCUUAGUAGUUUGGGACGUCUAACUGAGAAGAUGACCCUGGAGGACCUACACCGUUUUCGUGAGACAACGCUCGAGAACGGCCCUUUGAUCUAUUUAGAGAUUUCCAUUGUCCCCUAUAGAGAAUAUUACCAAUACUUGAAGUACUUAAACAUGGACUCUUUUGUCGACACAUAUAGUUGGUUGUACUAGACGUGUAUCGACUCUACUGACACUCCCUUUGAAAUCUGAAGAGUCGGGUCACGGUUCCACAACCUUCUUCUGGUUUUUAUGAGUUCCUCCACUUGUGUUCCCUCUCACACCGACCCUAGUAUGGACUACGCCUGUAGCUAGAUAUGUACUUCCAUCAUCGUCAACUUCGAAGUCUCGCUUCGGAUGUCUGUCUAAUAUAAAACUUCUAGUACCCCGAUCUCUAUACGCGUCUGUGCUACCAACCCCUACGUUACUCUUCUCCUUAUAGUCCCCCCGUCUUCUUUUCUAAUUGGUGUCGGCUCUACUAACACCCGGGGCGUUCACGUAUGAAAUACCUACUUUAUAGUUUACCAGACCUAUCGAGAUGGUGAAAAGUUUAUUAGUUAACAAAGGUCGUUGACUGUUUGUAGUCGCUCAUGUGCUACCAAUAAAGUGAAGAAGUUGGUUGUGGACUCCAUAAACUAGAAAAACUACUGGAGUAUGAUUACCGUCUUCCCUUCUAAUAGAUGGUACCGGGAGCUUUACUUCGAGAGUUAAAAAAACUCCUCACACCCAAGUAUACGGGUCUUUCUUUUCGCCGUCGACUGAAAGAAGUUCUCUAGAACAGGACCUUCCUGGUUGUUGUCAUGACCAACCCAGGUGUACUUAGUAUGUCUAUAUAGAGUGGAGUACUUAAUAGUUCGUACAAGUCCCUCUUAGUGUCCCCCUCUUUUGAUGUACUUGUUUCACAUGGAGGGUUUUCGGUCAACCCGUUCCUUCGAAAUCGUAAGUUAUUCAUAAGCGAUGUUUUUGACCUUUACAAGUUUCGGACACCUCGUUCCCUUCGUGAGGAUUACUUUUCCUUAUACAAACAAAUACAGAAGUUUUGUCCGGUCGAACGGUAAUAACGUGAGCAUUGUUACAGACAUAAGGAAGCUUGAGCGUACUGUUAUUCAAAGUGAGUACGUUUAAUGAUAUACCCUCGUAAUAAAAAAAGGUAGUACUAAUACAAUUUACCGUAUGGUCUCUACUCGUACGUCUAACCCUCUGAGGGUUCAAAAAUGUUCGUUUUCUCGAUGAUAAAGAUAAGUAGUACCCGUAUACGUUAUGGUCGAAGUCAGGAUUUCCAGGGAUAAAGGUAUGACCUAAGCGAACAUACCUAUAGAUAGUGUAUAAUACCAUAACCAAUAUGUGGAUGACAAAGUUCAGUGGAGCGUCGUAGCUAAAUAACGAAGUAUGAAGGUUUGUGGAUAACACAGAAAGAAGAUGGAAAAAGAACGAGAUUGUCAUAAGGAAUGUAAGCCUCCGAAGUAAGAAGGGUUCUGGAGGUACGGUCCUACCAAUUUGACCCCUAAAACCUAUAGAGGUUACUGUAUACGUCUUUAGUCGUAUCAAUAAUUGCUUAAGAACCGUGGUUCUACCGUCUUCCUUUCAUAAGUUUUGUAUUGUUAACCCUUGGUUUAGGACCAAUUAGUACCGGAUAUAAUGUCAACCGUAAUAAUAACCUAUAGGAAACCUCGGAACGAACCUAGAUAAGAGAAUAAAAUAUAGCGAAAACCUAACCGUGAUCUAAUGUCUUGUGGAUGUCUUCUUAUAGUACCUUCGUCCGGAUGUUUCUCGAAUACAGUUGUCGUCCUUUUUCUAAUGUGAUAAGUUUUACUUAGACUACUAGUUAGUUUAUAAAGGUUUCGUUUCCACUGAUAUGGUCAAUACGUAGAAGGUUAAUGUAAGGUGUUAGACUUGAUGAUGUAACUAUGGGGUGGCCUUUACGACUUUGUUCCGAUAGGUUGUUCUUCUGAAGCUGACGAAUUAUUGUAUUGACCACGAAAUGCAGGGCCACAAGAAAGACGUGAUUACCCACAAUCACCUCGACCCUUCUGUUGAGAUGAUCUACAUAAUCGUCCUUCCUUUUGUCCUCCAAUAUAACUUCCCCUGUAUUCUUAUCCACCUAUAGGGUUCCACGUCCUUUGUAAACAGUCUUAGAACCCAAUGACGCUUGUUCAGCUGUAUGUAAGGGGUGUCGAAUGUCAACUUCUCAGACAUUGAAUAAGACGCACCGAAGCAGACGGAAGAGUACAGCUGCUUGUUUGUUCUAGAUUUAAACAACGACUUCAGGAACUUUGACAACUUGAUCUAGUUUAUUUUCUACAGAAUCACCCCAGUGGUGUCUUUUUACCUAACAGGUACCUCGUCUCUUUCUCCGAUUGCUAACGUCAGCUCGAACAAAGUUUGGGUAGUUAGUAUGAUUACCUACUUGGUUGUUGUCCAAAUCUAUGUUCCAGUCGUCGGUAACAAUAAGCACGUCAGUUUUUAUAAACACUUUGUCCUUCCUGUCAUCAGACAUGUUAGGUAGUCGGCUCGUGACUUUAAAAACUCCGUAAACUACUCGAGUAUAAUUACUUUUCGCCACCCUUUUGUUAGAUGUCACCUGGUUAUCCUCUCGCGAGGACGUUUCACUAGCUCAUGAAACUCUUUUAAAGACCUCAGGGUUUUUAUUUCUCAUUGACGUUAGGUCGAUGAACCUACUACCUACAUUGUAGCUGUAGUUACCUCCAAGUUGUGUUAUACCUGAAACGUUAAAACAUACUUCUCAGCAGUGACGUAUCUCUUCGACUUCUAGAUCACCUCGUCGAUUCAUAGGGUAAUGGUUUAAGUCUUUUAGAUACAAAGAGGGUAUCAAAACGUGUCUUACCGACCUAAGUUGAAUUUCGAACGAACACCUUUGUUUUGUAUUGAAUGACCUCCUCAGGAGUCAUAUUGAACUCCGCGUAAUACUACUGACAGUAUAGACGGGACUAGAUGCCUUAUAACAAGACCUUCGUACGUUUUCAUAAUUUGUUGCUCGUCCUGUACGAGUCACAAAAACCACGUUACAUAAACCCAAAGUGGUGGUAUCCGCGAAUAUUACUAGUCUGUUAGUAUGGUAAGUCAUGUUGACUCGCAUAACAUUACAUAGCACUCUCUAAACGUCCUUACAUAAGUAGAACCAGUAUAAGUAAGCGUGUCCGAAAGUAACUCUAUGGGAUACAUAAAUAGGUUCACCAUGACAUAUGCAAUUAACAGAUAGGCAGUUGACCAAUAAUAACCUGUCGUGUGUUUAAGGAUACCAAGAAGAUGUGGUGUAAAACAAGUUAAGAGAGGAUACAAAUACAACCCAACGAAGAACAAAGGUAUUGGGGGUUACAAGUUCAUCGAUGGUAUGACCGAAGUAAAAAGUUGUGGUACGUUUGUGAUAAGAGUCCUAAAUAAAAUGGACGUGGAGUUUAGGGCUUCACCACCUGAACCGAGAUGAUAGAGUGAGGAUGUAGAACCCGUGAGUUACGGGAGAACUGUAGUGUUAUGCCUUUGUAUCUUUUUCUCCACUUUCGUAAACCUCUUUGAUUUAGUCAAAGUUAGAAGAACUUACUGAUAAAACCCAAAGUAGUUCUAUUCAACUCGCAUCAUCGUCGACAGGAGCAACGGAAAGGAAAACACAACUAUUAGAACAAAAGCAACAGGUAACUCUUUGAAUUAAAGGUCUUCUCCAUUCGUUCAAGACUGUAAGGUUGUCUGUACUUAGACAUGUACAAUGUCUAUAUCGAUGAACGGAAAAAAGGUUGACGCUUUACGUCUUAGUCUCGACUAACCCACCGAUAAAAAGAGUUUAGACUACCCAUUUGGAGUACUUAUUCAUUAACACAUGUUAUUGAACUAACACGAUUCAUGCUAACACUCAACAUUAGAAAAACAAAGUGGCAAGUCUUCUUAAACUACCAAUGUUUAGUACAUUGGACGAAACUUCUCCUAAAACGUUAACACAAUACGGAAUCUAAUGACUUACGUAGUUCUCCUUUUACUCGUGGAUUGACUUACUUGGAUGCUAAAUUUCGCUCGAAUUCGUGUCUAUUGUUUUUCGAUUGAACCUAAGGGCGUGGCAGUAGUAGUACGGAAUUAUAGGCACGUUCCACACACUCACCACCCACCAAAGACUUCUCUUUGCACCGGUGUGCAGUGCCGUACGCCCCGCGGCAAACCUAAAGGAAACUCGAUAUAUUUUGCCCUUGCCGUCGUACCUUACUGUUCAACUUCGGUCUGUGUGGGCUACUCGCGUCUCCACGUUCGGCUUCCUCUCCUACGUCGCGUUGGUGAUCCCCACGAUGGUCGUUCUUCCCACGGUGAUCGUUCCCACGGCGGUUGCUGUGUUUUCCCUUUACCCAGUGAAGCAGCCGCUGUGUUGUAGCAGCUGUGUUCUAGUUGACUGUUUCGAGCGGUUGACAACGAAGAAGGGGUUAUAACAAGAAGGGCUUCGUUUACCUUCAAGUGACCGCGCGUGGCGGCGCCCUCGUCUAGCACGGUCGCGGUACGGGCCUGCUUGCCCAUAAGGAUCGGGGAAAGAACUACACUCCGAAGAGAAACGGAGAGGUACUCAAAGAAGCACCCAUCGAAAAGAACAUGCUCCGGUUAUUAUACAGUGUAGUGCACUCUGACCAGCGUUUAGUUUGAUCGCUCUCCUCAGCUAUGGUGCUUUUAGGGUACAUCCUCUGCGAGGUCGUUAGGGUACGGAAGCUACGUUCACUAACGGUAAUCAUUUAGACCCUUACCGAUUACCGGGGGUGUUCUGUGAUCAACAGUGAUGUGUCGGUCCCGGCGUUAUUCGGCGGUGUUUGAGGCCACUUGUACUAGGCGUUGGAUCGUAGCAGCCGUGACGUUGGCACGUGGUGGUGGCGGUACGGCGUUACAUCGCUACUAGUGGCGAUGGGCGGUCGUGCGUUCGUUGGUCGCUUUAGUGUUGGUUGGUGCCUGAGCGGUUGGUCCGGUUCGAGGUUAUAUUACGGGGCUUCCUCCUUGUGUCUG
rnacentral:rRNA from 1 species